rnacentral:pre_miRNA from 7 species
ACCUUGAGUCCUUGGGGACCCCUCAAAUCCCGGACGAGCCCCCAAGUGUAGGACCCCCCAAGAAGGAGCCCCCCACUCAAGUCUCGGGACGCAGGGUUACCCAAAGAAACACGAGAGACC